GGGCGCAUGGUGUAGUUGGUUAUCACAUCCGCUUAGCAUGUGAAUGUUUGCGGGGGGUGCUGGGUUCAAUUCCCAGUGUGUCCA
rfam:Phlebiopsis gigantea 11061_1 CR5-6 unplaced genomic scaffold PHLGIscaffold_115, whole genome shotgun sequence.